GUCCACGCCGUAAACGAUGCUAACUCGUUUUGGAUUUUCGGAUUCAGAGACCAAGCGAAAGUGAUAAGUUAGCCACCUGGGGAGUACGAUCGCAAGAUUGAAACUCAAAGGAAUUGACGGGGCCCGCACAAGCGGUGGAUUAUGUGGUUUAAUUCGAUGAUACGCGAGGAACCUUACCAAGACUUAAAUGGGAAUUGACAGAUCUGGAAACAGAUUCUCCUUCGGGCAAUUUUCAAGGUGCUGCAUGGUUGUCGU
rnacentral:rRNA from 1 species